rnacentral:tRNA from 1 species
GGGUAGAGCAGUUUGGUAGCUCGCUAGGCUCAUAACCUUGAGGUCACGAGUUCAAAUCAUGUCUC